AGAGUUUGAUCAUGGCUCAGAUUGAACGCUGGCGGCAUGCCUUACACAUGCAAGUCGAACGGCAGCGCGGGGCAACCUGGCGGCGAGUGGCGAACGGGUGAGUAAUAUAUCGGAACGUGCCCUGGAGUGGGGGAUAACGCAGCGAAAGUUGCGCUAAUACCGCAUACGAUCUAAGGAUGAAAGCGGGGGAUUCGCAAGAACCUCGUGCUCCUGGAGCGGCCGAUAUCUGAUUAGCUAGUUGGUGGGGUAAAGGCCUACCAAGGCAUCGAUCAGUAGCUGGUCUGAGAGGACGACCAGCCACACUGGAACUGAGACACGGUCCAGACUCCUACGGGAGGCAGCAGUGGGGAAUUUUGGACAAUGGGCGCAAGCCUGAUCCAGCAAUGCCGCGUGAGUGAAGAAGGCCUUCGGGUUGUAAAGCUCUUUUGUCAGGGAAGAAACGGUAUGGGCUAAUAUCCCGUGCUAAUGACGGUACCUGAAGAAUAAGCACCGGCUAACUACGUGCCAGCAGCCGCGGUAAUACGUAGGGUGCAAGCGUUAAUCGGAAUUACUGGGCGUAAAGCGUGCGCAGGCGGUUUUGUAAGUCUGUCGUGAAAUCCCCGGGCUCAACCUGGGAAUUGCGAUGGAGACUGCAAGGCUAGAAUCUGGCAGAGGGGGGUAGAAUUCCACGUAGCAGUGAAAUGCGUAGAGAUGUGGAGGAACACCGAUGGCGAAGGCAGCCCCCUGGGUCAAGAUUGACGCUCAUGCACGAAAGCGUGGGGAGCAAACAGGAUUAGAUACCCUAGUAGUCC
rnacentral:rRNA from 1 species